GACGAACGCUGGCGGCGUGCUUAACACAUGCAAGUCGAACGGAAAGGCCCUGCUUUUGUGGGGUGCUCGAGUGGCGAACGGGUGAGUAACACGUGAGUAACCUGCCCUUGACUUUGGGAUAACUUCAGGAAACUGGGGCUAAUACCGGAUAGGAGCUCCUGCUGCAUGGUGGGGGUUAGAAAGUUUCGGCGGUUGGGGAUGGACUCGCGGCUUAUCAGCCUGUUGGUGGGGUAGUGGCUUACCAAGGCUUUGACGGGUAGCCGGCCUGAGAGGGUGACCGGCCACAUUGGGACUGAGAUACGGCCCAGACUCCUACGGGAGGCAGCAGUGGGGAAUAUUGCACAAUGGGCGGAAGCCUGAUGCAGCAACGCCGCGUGCGGGAUGACGGCCUUCGGGUUGUAAACCGCUUUCGCCUGUGACGAAGCGUGAGUGACGGUAAUGGGUAAAGAAGCACCGGCUAACUACGUG
rnacentral:rRNA from 1 species